UGAUUGGUUCGCUGCACAAGCGAUUAAAAUGGGAAUCAGGUGCGAAUCCUGGACUGUCCCGCAGCUGUGAGUUGCCCUUCAUGGUGUAAACAAAUGCGUCACUGAACUUUUUUCGGGAAGACGUUUGCAUCGGCAACAAGUCAGAAGACCUGCCUCUCACUAU
rnacentral:ncRNA from 1 species